UUUUUUGUUUUUUUUUUUUGAGAUAGGGUCUCACUGUGUGGCCCAGGCUGGAGUGCAGUGGUGCGAUCUCUGCUCGCUGCAGUCUCCACCUCCUGUGCUCAAGUGAUCCUCCCACCGCAGCCUCCUCAGUAGCCGGAACUAUUAGUGUGUACCACUACGCCCAGCUAAUUUUGGUAUUUUUGUAGAGAUGGGGUCUUGCUAUGUUACCCAGGCUGGUCUCAAACUCCUGGGUUCAAGUGAUUCACCCACUUUAGCCUCUCAAAGUUCUGGGACUGCAGAUGUGAGCCACAGUGUCUGGCCUAGCAAUUAUUCUUAACUGCAGUGUAGUUUCUGAGGGCAAAGUCAGUUUUGGACUUAAUUUAUGUUUAUUUAAAAAGGAUAUUUUUCUACUUUUUCCUUUCUCACCUCAAGUGCCAGCAAACUAGAGCUGAAAAGUCUUCAAAUCUAUUGGCCUCCUGUGCUUUUCACUGUUUAUUGUCUCUUCAACAGGCACUCUCCCUCUUCCUUCUAUGACAAGGACCCUGAUUCGACACGGCUGCCCAUGUUCCCAGCUCCAGGAGAUAAACGAAGUCAAACCUAAGCCACUCAUGACAAAUUUGUCUCCUGUGUAAUUGGUCUAGGCACAAGCACAUGACCCAUUUAUAGACAAUGAGACAGGCCCUUGUUGAAUUAGAACACUGCUGCUAAAAUUGAAAGCAUGAUGGGGAAACUGAGGCCUGGAGUAACCAGUCAUAUUGCUUCCAUGCUGGGAACUCUCCAAUGACAUAUCGCACAAUACAGAGCCAACCUCAAGUUCCCCACCAUAGACCACAAGGACUUGCAAGUUCUAACCUUGCCCAAUCUCCCUUAUACGCCCUCAGUCCAUGUGCCUCUGUGAUGAUGGAUUGGGUCCUUCUUGGCUUCCUCCAAAGGGGCAGAACUGCUCUGGAAGGUUCCUCAUGGCAUUGGCAAUGAUCUUAUUCUAUGCUGCUUAAAGAGAUUAAAUUGACUUUGCUCUUGUUACAUAAUUAAUGGUUAAGAAUAAAAUUCUGAACAUUUUCAAGGAAACUUUUAAUCCUAAAGCAGGUUUUGUAUGCCUAAGCUUUGGUAUGUUUUCCCACUCAACACUCAGAAAUAAGCAGGGAACUUUCUAAAAUAAAUAACUGUUAUUCUUUUUCCCCCAGGACUUACAUUUUAUCUAUAAAUGCAUUUGUCUUUUAGUUUAGUUUAUUUAGGUAGAAUUAAAGUAGUUUUAACUUAGUUUUCCCAAUGAAAUUAGAUUUUA
rnacentral:lncRNA from 1 species